AUUGAACGCUGGCGGCAGGCUUAACACAUGCAAGUCGAGCGGGGGAAGGUAGCUUGCUACUGGACCUAGCGGCGGACGGGUGAGUAAUGCUUAGGAAUCUGCCUAUUAGUGGGGGACAACAUCUCGAAAGGGAUGCUAAUACCGCAUACGUCCUACGGGAGAAAGCAGGGGAUCUUCGGACCUUGCGCUAAUAGAUGAGCCUAAGUCGGAUUAGCUAGUUGGUGGGGUAAAGGCCUACCAAGGCGACGAUCUGUAGCGGGUCUGAGAGGAUGAUCCGCCACACUGGGACUGAGACACGGCCCAGACUCCUACGGGAGGCAGCAGUGGGGAAUAUUGGACAAUGGGGGGAACCCUGAUCCAGCCAUGCCGCGUGUGUGAAGAAGGCCUUAUGGUUGUAAAGCACUUUAAGCGAGGAGGAGGCUACUUUAGUUAAUACCUAGAGAUAGUGGACGUUACUCGCAGAAUAAGCACCGGCUAACUCUGUGCCAGCAGCCGCGGUAAUACAGAGGGUGCGAGCGUUAAUCGGAUUUACUGGGCGUAAAGCGUGCGUAGGCGGCUUAUUAAGUCGGAUGUGAAAUCCCCGAGCUUAACUUGGGAAUUGCAUUCGAUACUGGUGAGCUAGAGUAUGGGAGAGGAUGGUAGAAUUCCAGGUGUAGCGGUGAAAUGCGUAGAGAUCUGGAGGAAUACCGAUGGCGAAAGCAGCCAUCUGGCCUAAUACUGACGCUGAGGUAC
rnacentral:rRNA from 1 species